CAUAGACUGUAAAAAAUAUGGACAAAGCGUCUGUGACGUCACCCAUAGAUUUUCUGAAGAACGGUUAUGAAGCCGUUUAUGGGCGGCGCCAUCUUGGAAAACCUUGGGAAAUCCUAACCCCGCCCACCUCCUGAGCAAGCCGGUGAACCCGCCUCGUCGUCAGCCGAGCAGCCUCAGCUAAGCUAUCUGUAACGUUAGGCCUACAAGAUGGACUGGCACAGACGUUGCUGAAACAUAAUUUGCUGUUCGCCAUGGGGAGGAGGCGGCAAGGAGGUCCAUGGGCUCUAACCUAUUGAUGGACUGUUACACCUACCCUUUACUUAUGCCAAACCCAUUUCUGUUCUUUAAAUAUCAGAAUGCAAACUUACUGUUGAUGGCACUGAACUUGCACUUGGAAAUGUUUAUGGAACUUUUCUGAACUGUGAAUUACAUUAAAACUCAUGCCAAACCAA